rnacentral:rRNA from 1 species
GAUCAUGGCUCAGGAUGAACGCUGGCGGCGUGCCUAACACAUGCAAGUCGAGCGAGAAAUCCCUGAAUGAAACUUCGGUCGAAUGAAGGGAUGGAAAGCGGCGGACGGGUGAGUAACGCGUAGGCAACCUGCCCCUUGCAGAGGGAUAGCCAUUGGAAACGAUGAUUAAAACCUCAUAACACCGCACUGUCACAUGGUAGAGCGGUCAAAGAUUUAUCGGCAAGGGAUGGG